GUGAUUGCUCCGGUGAACAAAGUAGUUAGGGCAUCCGCCUCUGAUGCGGGAGGUCGUGGGUUCGAACCCCAGUCGAGCCA